GCCCGUUGGAAGCUCGGCAAAGCAUGAGACUCUUAAUCUCAGGGUUGUGGGUUCGAGCCCCAUGUUGGGCA